GCGGAUGUGGCGGAACUGGCAGACGCGCUGGAUUUAGGAUCCAGUGCCGCAAGGCGUAUGGGUUCGAGUCCCUUCAUCCGCACCA
rnacentral:tRNA from 1 species